ensembl:lncRNA
GAAAACAACAACAGUUGAUGACAAACAUUACCAACAACCUCUACAGGGCAGGGUGAAGGUAUCACAACCACCAUGUGAAGAAGACUUUGACAGCAGAAAUAUAGAGUCCAUACCACAAGAUGUAAACCACUCAUCAGCAGCAAGAAUCAGAAAACCAGACUGGAGUCCGCAAAGUAAUACAGAGAUGAUCCACAAAAGUUCUGGAACCAAGAUGAACCUCUACCAAAGUGAUGGAAAGGCCAAAGUGUGGAGAAAGAAAGGAUCUGCUCAUGAUCCAGAACAUACGUGCUCAUCUGUGAAACAUGGUGGAGGUAGUGUCAUGGCUCGGGCUUGCAUGUCUGCUUCUGGAACAUUCUCACUGAUCUUUAUUGAUGAUGAACUCAUGAUGGAGCAGCAGAAUGAAUUCAGAAGUGUACAGGAACAUUCUGUUGCCAAUUUACAGAGAAAUACAUCCGAAUGAAUCAGGAGGAACUUCAUCAUGCAGCAAGACAAUGAUCCAAAACACACUUCCACCUCAACACAGGACUUCAUCAGGGGGAAAGUGGAAGGUUUUAGACUGGACACGUCAAUCACCAGACCUUCACCCAACUGAUCAUCUCACCUCCUGAAGAGGAGACUGAAGGGAGAAACCCCCCGAAACACACAACUACUGAAAGAAGCUGCAGGAGAAACCUGGAGAAGCUUCACAGCAGAAGAAACCAGCAGUUUGAUGUCAGUGAGUCGCAGGAUUGAUGCAGUUAUUACAAACAACAGAUAUGAACCAAAUAUUAAGUCUUAUUUACUUUCAUUUACACUGUUCCUAUACUUUGCAAAUGGGGUGGUCUGCCAUCAAAGGUGUCAUAUGUAACACAUCUAGAUGUAAAUAUCAGGAAAUGAAAGCUGAAAUUCUGAUUUAUUCAUAUUUUGAAGUCUUCAGUGUAUAGUGAAAACAAUAGAAUUGGACUUGCUGUUCCAGUACUUUUGGAGGGGACUGUAUAACACUGUAUCUGUAACUCUGAUUCAUUUAUCAUUACAGUAUAUUUGAGCUUAUCAGCAAAAUCAUCUUAUUUUUUAUUGACUGCAUCAAUUAAUGAAUUGACUGAGAUAUAUUUACCCAUCUAUUACUCGUAUAUAUUUACUCCCUCCUCAGACACAGUGAAUGUCCAGUGGUUAUAUUUACAAUCCCAGAACUAUCAGAGAUGAUGAAUGGUUACUGUAUCAGGAACUCCAGCACCUGAGAGGAGAUCAUAAUGUGUCUGUGUCAGCUUUUUAGUGCUGGGGUUAGGGUUAGUUAGUAGGCUGGCAAUAUUAAAACAAAUAUUUCUAAAAACUAAAGUCUUUUAAAUCUCUGAGUGGUCAUAUACAGAGUGGCCACUAGACGGCGCUGGUGAACUAUUUUCCUCAGACACAAACUGCUGUAAGAUAUUUAAGUGUUCCCUGUAAUGUUUUAAUGAACGUUUAUUCAGUGUGUAAUAGAUGUGGUGUUGAUGUUGAUCUGUUAUACAGUUAAUACACAAACACAGGGAGAAUGUCUCAUUGGGUAAAUGUAUUUGUCCUUGUCGCUCCCUGAUCCGAGUCCCCUGACUGAUUUGCACUGUGAAGGUACACCACUGUUGCUCAUGCUCACAUGUUUAUUAUGUUUUACGGUGCAGCCUGAUCUAUACCACAUAUCUGUCACCACAUUACAGCACAUUUUCUGCAGCCUCAGUGAAGUGAAGGCAGUAAUAUAACUCUAUAUAAGUUCAGGGAUUAGAAACAUUACAGGGAACAAAAAUUAAUGGAAUUUUUCAUCGAACGUGUUCCAGGGUAAAAAUGUUCAUUUAAAAAAUACUUAAUAUUAUUUUUCCAAUUCAGUGUUAAUUUAAGAAAGUAUAACACAAGCCUCCUCGCCCAACAUCAGUUCCUGACCUCACUAAUGCUCUUGUAGCGGAAUGAACACAAAUCCACACGGCCACGCCCCAAAAUCUAGUGGAAAGCCUUCCCAGAAGAGUGGAGCUCAUUUUAACAGCAAAGGGGAAUAAAUCUGGAAUGGAAUGUUUAACAAGCACAUAUUGUGGUGAUCCUCGGGGGUGCACAUACUUUUGGCAUUACAGUAUAUAGAUUUAGUAUAAAUUAAUGCAUAUGUGGUAUAUUUAUAGAAGUGCAGACCCUAAUCUAGCAUAUUCUGAAUCAUUUCAGAACAUAAAACCUUCACUGAUAAGGUUUUAAUGUAUCACAUUCAAAAUAAGAAAUGGAGCAAUGUGGCUGUUCACUUCAUAUUCUCACUGUCAGAAUAUAAUAAACUAAUAUAAAGCACACACACAAACACACACACACUGAGGUACACACUGCUGGGAGUGGGGUUUAAAGUGGAUCUUAUAGGCUUAAACCACUAGCGAAAUCAGCCACAAGAGCUGUGUAUUUAUUGUUGCUUAUUUAGGGGCUAAUUGGUGCAGAUCCUAAGACAGCUAUGGAAACGGCUAAACAAUGCACAAACACAAUCAUACACCGUGAUCAGUUUAACUUCAUUUCCCAAACAUUAACCUACACAAACAGUCCACUUAUCAACCACAGGAACAUUUAUAAAAUACCACUUAUACUAAAUUACAGCAAUGUAACAAUUAUUAACCAAAAGGUGGAAAAUAAUUAGCAUGUGCAGCAUUUACAAAAUUUUUAUAAUGUAUUUUUCUCAAAGUUAGUGAUCGACACAAACAGAGUAAUCAUUAAAAAUGCUGAAAUUUGAUAUUCUACAAUGGGUAAUAGUUAACAGACAGUAUAUGGAGGUGUUCAGUGAUAUAUACAAUAUACAUUUUAUGGCCAAAAU